GAAUUCUUUAUUCCUUUUCUGUCUGAUUCCUACCCCGUGAGGGCCCUGGCCAUUCUGUGGUCAUUUCUCUCUUUUCUUUUCUCUUUGGUCUUCCUCGUGUCGUGAGGGCAAGCGGAUCCAUGGCGGAGAAAUCCGCACGUCCUGCUCGGGCGUCGCCGGGGGGGACGGUUUAUGUGUGGCCGCCCCGUCUUGCUCGGCCGGUGGCAGAGGAAGUUGUUCCUGUUGGGAGGCUGCAUCCUGCUCGGGCGUCGUCGGGGUUGAUGUGGUGCCGCCGCGUCGUGCUUCGCCGGCUGGAGAGGAAGCAGUUGGUGUUAGGACGCCGCGUCAUGCUUGGACGACGGCAGAGGAAGCAAUUGGUGUUGGGACGCCUCGUCCUGCUAGGCCGUUUGUCGGAUUGGGCGGUGACUCCAAAUCCGCCGCUAGCGUCGAUGGGGAAAUUUUCAGCUCAUGUUCAUCUCCGUCCAUUGGGGAAGAGGUCUUCGCUUCGCGAGCGCAGAAGGCAUGUGCACCGGCGCAGUGAUGGAAUAGGAUGUUAAUGUGAUCAUGCUGUGUGAUGGCAUGAGACAAAGGGAUCAUGCUGGCUUAGUAGUGCGACAAAUGAUGGAAUUUUUGAUGAUUAGUUUUUUGUGUGCUCACUAGUGUUUUGUGUGCUCACUAUUAUAUCUGCAUUUCUUCGGUGGCAAUGCCACAAGGGGCGCCGGCGUGUCUUCCUUGAUGGCGUCUUCUGAUAUGAAAGGCGGUGAAGGAGGUGAUCAACACAUACUUGGCGGUCUGGGCUAUGGUAACACCAGAAACUGAGCUAGUACUACAAGAUUUCUUCUUGAUCGAUCUAAAUCGUGAGAGGAGCAGGACUGCUUGGAAGGAGUGGUUGAAAAGAAGUGGCUGGAGCACGUGAAUAGCUUCGCUUGCUGGAAAAGAAGGUCGAACAGCUACAAGAUGCACGUGCUGGGCUUUUGUGGAUCUGGGAGCCUUUAACUGUUAAUGGCCUUUCCUCUGUAAUGGGCUUUUUAAAACUCAACAUGUUGUGUGAAAGCAGAAAUCCUUGAAACGCAAACACAUGCCUCCUACCGAAUGUGUCUGUUUUGCUAAACGGAAACAGACAGAUUUUUAUUAA